ensembl:lncRNA
GAUACACUCACCUCCACGCUAAACCCAGACCUUCACUAGAUACACUCACCUCCACGCUAAACCCAGACCUUCACUAGAUACACUCACCUCCACGCUAUUCCUUUGUUUGCUAAGCACUAUCAGUUACGAUAUAUUUAUUGUCCUAAUAUACUGUUUCAUGUCAUAGACGUGGAAAGGAAAGCCAACAAGGCACUUAAUAAAACAACUUGCGAAGGGAAUUUCAGAUGUCAGAUAUGUCAAUAUGAUGAUGGUUCCAGUGUUCAACCUGAUUUCUCUGGUCGUUCUCUGAACGGUUAAAGAAACACAAUAAGGAAUGGUGUCCAUCUUUGAACUAAUAUUUUCACACCCAAACAAACAUCUCAACGUUAUUUCACAAUGUGCCAUUACUUCCGUUUCAAGACUUUCUUAAGACAGAUAUUGUGAUUAUAGACCGUAUGAAUUAGCUACUUUAAAGACUGUAAAACAAAUAACCAAAUGUGUAAUAUAUUGUUCUAAAUUAGUACAAACAGUAUAUUACCACAGCUGACAGUCACAGUAAAUGAUCCUUAAAGGGAUAUAAUGUGGUAUUAUUGUCAUGCAUUAUUUAAUAAGGAUUUAUUUGGUAUUUCCAUAUCAAUAUUCCAUAAUCUAACAUUGACUGUAUUGCCAGUCAAUUGAAACUCUCUAUCCCAAAUGGCACCCUAUUCCCUAUAUAGUGCACUACUUUAGACCAGGGCCCUAUUCCCUAUGUGGUGGCCAACUUUAGACCAGGGCCCAUAUCUAACUCUCUAAAGGAGGAUCCUUAUUGAAACACUAAUCAUGGGCUCCUGAAGAUGCUGUAAAUCCCAUGUGUUCUAUGAUGAUAGGCCUCAUCCAGCUCUCUCACUGUGGCUACAUGGGGAUACUUUCACUCCUCUGUAGGCUUUAAGGCAGCAACAUAGCCUUCAUCACUGAAAUAUGCAUCAUUUCUAUGGCUUGUUAUUCACAGUACAGUAUGUAGAAUGUAGCUUGUACAUAGCCUUUUACAGGAAUACUUUUUGUAUCCUUUUUUUUCUCCCUUAAUAUUUCAUUAUUAUACAUUUCUACUAGUUUUUUAUUAUAAACAAAAUAUAUGUGAAUAUAUAGACAUUAGUCUUUUUGAUUUGAUUAGACCAAUGUUUGUUUUAUGUUUGUUUUUAACAUUGUUUAUUUGUUAUUAGACUAAGGUGUUGCCUGGAAAACAACUGAAGAACAAAAUAACAUGAAUUGUUGUAUGGCCUUAAAUUACUACAUACACACAGCUACAUUACAUUACUACAUACACACAGCUACAUUACAUUACUACAUACACACAGCUACAUUACAUUACUACAUACACACAGCUACAUUACAUUACUACAUACACACAGCUACAUUACAUUACUACAUACACACAGCUACAUUAUAUUACUACAUACACACAGCUACAUUACAUUACUACAUACACACAGCUACAUUAUAUUACUACAUACACACAGCUACAUUACAUUACUACAUACACACAGCUACAUUACAUUACUACAUACACACAGCUACAUUACACACAGCUACAUUACACACAGCUACAUUAUAUUACUACAUACACAGCUACAUUACAUUACUACAUACACACAGCUACAUUACUACAUACACACAGCUACAUUACUACAUACACACAGCUACAUUACUACAUACACACAGCUACAUUAUAUUACUACAUACACACAGCUACAUUAUAUUACUACAUACACACAGCUACAUUAUAUUACUACAUACACACAGCUACAUUACUACAUACACACAGCUACAUUACUACAUACACACAGCUACAUUACUACAUACACACUGCUACAUUACUACAUACACACAGCUACAUUACAUUACUACAUACACACAGCUACAUUAUAUUACUACAUACACACAGCUACAUUACUACAUACACACAGCUACAUUACUACAUACACACAGCUACAUUACUACAUACACACCGCUACAUUACUACAUACACACAGCUACAUUACAUUACUACAUACACACAGCUACAUUAUAUUACUACAUACACACCGCUACAUUACUACAUACACACAGCUACAUUACAUUACUACAUACACACAGCUACAUUAUAUUACUACAUACACACAGCUACAUUACUACAUACACACAGCUACAUUAUAUUACUACAUACACACAGCUACAUUACUACAUACACACAGCUACAUUACAUUACUACAUACACACAGCUACAUUGCAUUACCACAUAAACACAGCUAUAUUACAUUACUACAUACACACAGCUAAAUUACAUUACCACAUAAACACAGCUAAAUUACAUUACUUCAUACACACAGCUACAUUACCACAUACACACAGCUAUAUUACAUUACUACAUACACACAGCUACAUUACAUUACCACAUACACACAGUUACAUUACAUUACUACAUACACACAGCUACAUUACAUUACUACAUACACACAGCUACAUUACAUUACUACAUACACACAGCUACAUUACUACAUACACACAGCUACAUUACUACAUACACACAGCUACAUUACAUUACUACAUACACACAGCUACAUUACAUUACUACAUACACACAGCUACAUUACUACAUACACACAGCUACAUUACAUUACUACAUACACACAGCUACAUUACAUUACUACAUACACACAGCUACAUUACUACAUACACACAGCUACAUUACAUUACUACAUACACACAGCUACAUUACAUUACUACAUACACACAGAUACAGUACCUAUCAAAAAUUUGGACACCUACUCAUUCUGGGGUUUUUCUUUAUUUUUACUAUUUUCUACAUUUUAGAUUAAUAGUGAAGAUGUCAAAACUAUGAAAUAACACAUACGGAAACAUAAAGGUGUUAAACAAAUCAAUAUACAUUUUUUUAUUUGAGAUUCUUCAAAGCAGCAUUUGCCUUGAUGACUACUUUUCACACUCUUGGCAUUCUCUCAACCAGCUUCAAGAGGUAGCUACCUGGAAUGCGUUUCAGUUAACAGGUGUGCCUUGUUUAAAGUUAAUUUGUGGAAUUUCUUACCUUUUUAGUUAUUACAUGAUUCCAUAUGUGUUAUUUCCUGAUUUUGAUGUCUUCACUAUUAUUCUACAAUGUAAAAAUAAAGGAAAACCAUUGAAUGAGUAAGUGUGUCCAAACUUUUGACUGGUACUGUACAUUACAUUACAUUACUACAUACACACAGCUACAUUACUACAUACACACCGCUACAUUACUACAUACACACAGCUACAUUACUACAUACACACAGCUACAUUACUACAUACACACCGCUACAUUACUACAUACACACCGCUACAUUACUACAUACACACAGCUACAUUACUACAUACACACAGCUACAUUACUACAUACACACAGCUACAUUACUACAUACACACAGCUACAUUACUACAUACACACAGCUACAUUACAUUACUACAUACACACAGCUACAUUACUACAUACACACAGCUACAUUACAUUACUACAUACACACAGCUACAUUACUACAUACACACAGCUACAUUACUACAUACAAACAGCUACAUUACUACAUACACACAGCUACAUUACUACAUACACACAGCUACAUUACUACAUACACACAGCUACAUUACUACAUACACACAGCUACAUUACUACAUACACACAGAUAACUUAUUAUGAUUGUGUUCAAGACAAGAGAGAACGCUUUGAGAAGAAAAAACCCCACAAA